UUUUAAGUUUUAAGUCUGUAUAACUUAAGAAUGAUUGUGUAUUAUAAUUAUUCCUUGUUAUUAUGGUUAUUAUUGUGUCUGAUGUCUUAUCAGGUUCGCCGUUCGCUGAUCCUGGAUAUUCCCAGUUUUCACAACAAAUUCCUGAAUAUUGCGUAUAAAUUUGUGCUGCAGCUUCUGCGUCAUGACGGUGUUUUUUGCUUUUACACUUUAAAAGUGAUGAGGUAUUUCCACGCCAUUCGACCAAGCUUAAUCGAAAGUGAACAAUUCUAAGGCAUAUCUUUUGCCUUUCCCCACGUGAUCGCUACCGUGUCAUGAAGAUGCUCCUUUGACUUUGAGAGGGUCCCUACUAUAUUGCAAGACAAAAAUAUGAUGUGAACAGGAAAUUUGAGAUGUUACCAUUGUAACCAGUACCAUUGAGUUCAGUUCAACCUGUAGACGGGCCGGCCAGCUUGGGGUGAGGUUCGCGGGGAACAUUACGUGUAAAACUGUCAAUGUGGUGGUGUAGAGGUUGGGUGAGAACUGGACGUGUUGAUUAUC